rnacentral:rRNA from 1 species
GACGAACGCUGGCGGCGUGCUUAACACAUGCAAGUCGAACGAAGUGGCGAACGGGUGAGUAACGCGUAAUCAACCUGCCCUUCAGAGGGGGACAACAGUUGGAAACGACUCCUAAUACCGCAUACUGAAUGAGGGGAUUGCGUCUGAUGAGCUAGUUGGAGGGGUAACGGCCCACCAAGGCGAUGAUCAGUAGUAGGUGUGAGAGGAUGAACGGGCAGAUUGGGGCUGAUAGACGGCCCAGACUCCUACGGGAGGCAGCAGUGGGGAAUCUUCCGCAAUGGGCUAAAGUCUUACGGAGCAACGCCGCGUGAGUGAUGACGGCCUUCGGGUUGUAAAGCUAUGUUAAUCGGGACGCGGUACCGGAAUAGAAAGCCACGGCUAACUACGUGCAAGCAGCCGCGGUAAUAC